rnacentral:rRNA from 1 species
CAAUAGCGUAUAUUUAAGUUGUUGCAGUUAAAAAGCUCGUAGUUGGAUUUCGGUUAAGAGCGACCGGUCCGCCGUUUGGUGUGCACUGGUUGGUUUUAACUUCCUGUAGAGGACGUGCUCUGGGUUUAACGACCUGGACUCGGAGUCUACGUGGUUACUUUGAAAAAAUUAGAGUGUUCAAAGCGGGCUUACGCUUGAAUAUUUCAGCAUGGAAUAACACUAUAGGACUCCUGUCCUAUUUCGUUGGUCUCGGGACGGGAGUAAUGAUUAAGAGGAACAGUCGGGGGCAUUCGUAUUUCAUUGUCAGAGGUGAAAUUCUUGGAUUUAUGAAAGACGAACUUCUGCGAAAGCAUUUGCCAAGGAUGUUUUCAUUAA